AUUGAACGCUGGCGGCAGGCUUAACACAUGCAAGUCGAGCGGAGUGAUGGUGCUUGCACUAUCACUUAGCGGCGGACGGGUGAGUAAUGCUUAGGAAUCUGCCAUUUAGUGGGGGACAACAUUCCGAAAGGAAUGCUAAUACCGCAUACGUCCUACGGGAGAAAGCAGGGGAUCUUCGGACCUUGCGCUAAAUGAUGAGCCUAAGUCGGAUUAGCUAGUUGGUGGGGUAAAGGCCUACCAAGGCGACGAUCUGUAGCGGGUCUGAGAGGAUGAUCCGCCACCCUGGGACUGAGACACGGCCCAGACGCCUACGGGAGGCAGCAGUGGGGAAUAUUGGACAAUGGGCGGAAGCCUGAUCCAGCCAUGCCGCGUGUGUGAAGAAGGCCUUUUGGUUGUAAAGCACUUUAAGCGAGGAGGAGGCUCUCCUAGUUAAUACCUAGGAAGAGUGGACGUUACUCGCAGAAUAAGCACCGGCUAACUCUGUGCCAGCAGCCGCAGUAACAC
rnacentral:rRNA from 1 species